rnacentral:rRNA from 1 species
UACGGAGGGUGCAAGCGUUAUCCGGAUUCACUGGGUUUAAAGGGAGCGCAGGCGGACUUGUAAGUCAGUGGUGAAAUACCUGAGCUUAACUCGGGAACUGCCAUUGAUACUAUAGGUCUUGAAUGUUGUUGAGGUUUGCGGAAUGGGUCAUGUAGCGGUGAAAUGCAUAGAUAUUCGCAAGAACACCAGUGGCGAAGGCGGCUCACUGGCCCGAUACUGACACUGAGGUGCGAAAGCUAGGGUAGCAAACGGG